AAAAAAAUGAAAUAAAGAUAUUAUGUCCAUCUACAACUAAGAAAUAUUUUUAAAAAAUAGGGCUGGGGAUGUGGCUCUGUGAUUGAGUGCCCCUGAGUUCAAUCCCCAGUACCCCUCCCCUCAAAAAAAUCUCUGAUCAGGGGCAGAACAGACAGACAUAUAACUAUUAAGACACCCAAGGAAAAUGUUGUUCAUUUAAUUUAUAUUAAUGAAGAAAUACAAAUUCCAUUUUUCUACACUCAACACAGAACACUUCUUUGGUCAUGGUCAAAUGGUGGGUUUUUUCCACACCAAGCACUUCAACUUUCUGCACACGAGCUGGGUAUCCUAUGAUUCACUUUUAACUUCUGAUAUUAUCAACCUGGAAUUUGAAUCAAAUCCCACAAGUUAAUGGCUCUGCCUCAUAAGAUUAUCCCCACUUCUGAUGCCAAUCACAAGUUCCAGAUUGUGACCUAUUUUUGACUAAGUGACUAUAAAAUCAGGGAUCUUUUAACCCUCCUUGCGUUUGGUAAUUUGCUGUGGUGGUGGAACAGAGAAUUCAGGGAAACUUUAUUUCAAUUUAGCCAUUCAUUAUAAAGGAUAUUACAACAGAUGCACAUGGACAGCCAAAUGAAGAAGUACACAAGAGUUGGUUCAUGAGCGUCCUCUGAGUGCAGGAAUUUCUAUUCCUGUAGAGUUGGAGUACAGAAUCUUCCUAGUUCAAGGAUUUAUUCACCAACCCAGAAACUCAUCAAAUCUGGGGCAGAAAAUAAAGUUAUGAGACUAAGAUAAAGCAAAUCCAAAGUAUAAUUCCUGGAGAUUUGUUUAUCCUGGUAGAAAGACGGAGUCUGUAGAAUGGGUAUGUAGGAUCUUUCAUCCUGCUAAGAGGCUGAUGUGUUAACAACUGUUAGGAAUUUAGAGCCUUUCAGAAUUACAAUUUAAAGUAUUGGGUCUUUAUAUACCCUAGCUGUGGUAUACGAUGAAGUUUUCAGUUCCAGUGACAACUCUUGAAUCCUUGGAAUUUUCUGAGUUUCUUUUGUUGUUCAUAUGAGCCUCUUCAGAUGGCCGCAGUUUAUACUGAGUUUAAGCACUUAGGAGAGGGGCCCAAAGGAAACCUCUGGAGGGGCCGAUCACGAGAAAGACCAGCUGGUUAGAGGGCUGGAACUUUCAGCCAAUGCAAAGACCUCUGGGAAGAAAGGAGAGAUUCUAGAGAUGUGAGGGUCAGGGAGUAGGAGUAAUAGGGAUUGAACCCAGGGUUACUCUUACUGAGCUACAUCCCCAGCCCUUUUUAAGACUGGGUCUUGCUAAGUGGCCCAGGCUGGCCUUGAAUUUGCAGUCCUCCUGCCUCAGUAUCCUGAGUAGCUGAGAUUACAGAUGUGCUGCAAUAUACCCAGAUAAGUUCUAUAUAAUCUAUAGUAAGUUUUAUAAAAACUCUUGAACAAGAUUUGAUAAUCAAGAACAACUCCUUCAUUAUUCAGAGAAUCAGAGGUUAUAUAUUCUACUCUUACCAUGUAGCAGUUUGAAAAAUCAGCAUCACUCUGACAUCACAAGUUUCCUUCUCAACCCUAAAUGAUCAUAGUUCCAUUUUAUUUUUUUUAAUAUUUUUUUUUUAGUUCCACAUAGUACCUUAUUUUAAUGUGGUGCUGAGGACUGAACCCAGGGCCUUGCACAUGCUAGGCAAGUGCUCUACCACUGAGCCACAACCCCAGCAGCCCCCAUCAUUCCAUUUUAAAAGCCUUUACUUACUAGCUUCCCACUCCAUUCCUUCCCAAAUUCUCUCUAUCAGAGCCUUUGCCUCUAAUGCAUUGAUAUCCAAGUUUAAAUGCAGAGAUGGUGAAUUUGCAGCAAUAAGGCAAAUGAGCUUUUGGGGAUACAGUUGAACUGCCUGGAGCUGCAAUAUUGAAACACAUUUCAAGAAUUCAAAGGUUAGCCAGACACGGUGGUGCACACCUAUAAUCCCAGCAGCUCGCAAGGCUGAGGCAGGAGGAUCACAAGUUCAAAGCCAGCCUCAGCAAUGUAAGGUGCUAAACAACUCAGUGAGACCCUGUUUCUAAAUAAAAUACAAAAUAGGGCUGGGGAUGUGGCUCAGUGGCCAAGCAUCCCCAAGUUCAAUCCCCAGUAACCGGCCCCCCCAAAAUAUUCAAAGGUUGACAAAUACCAAUUCCACCUGAGAUGUGACCAGAUGAAACCAUGAGCUGGUCUAAAAAGCUUGGAAAGUAUUCAAAGGAACCUAAAGACACAAUAUAAACAUAACAAAAGGAAGGCAAAGCAAGGAAACCUAAUAUAGAAAAUAGAAAGUAGGGUAAGGGAAAUGAAAUAGAGAAAAGCUUGGGACACAGUAGACCCUAGUCAGUAAACAGUAUAUUUAAGAAGACCUUACUGGGGCGGGGGUUGUGGCUCAGUGGCAGAGCGCUUGCCUAGUAUGUGUGAGGCACUGGGCUUGAUUCUCAGCAUCACAUGUAAAUAAAUAAAAUAAAGGUCCACAGACAACUAAAAAAAAAAAAUAAGACCUUACUGCCAAGCACAGUGAAUAACAGGCAGAGCUGGAGUACAAUGUUAAACAAUGAGACACAACAUACUAGAAAUUAAAACAGAACCUAAAGAGAUGCUUUUAGGGGGAAAGAAAACUUGCCCCAUAGAAGUCUGUGUUCCCACCCUAUGGAGAGAUAGGUAAUCAGAUCAUUGAUAUUAUGCACUGAAUAAUGAAUAUGGAGCUGGGAAAGCACAAACUAGCUGAGUGACUGAGUGACCUUUUCACCUUUCUUUACCUCAAUUUUCCCAUGCAUGAAAUGGGGUGACACUCCCAUUUCCAAAGUGUAGACAAAGUUGAGAAAACAUGCCAAAAGUAUUUAAAGCCCAAAUAAACGCAACUGCAUGACUGACAUCACUACUUAAACAUCUUAUAAGCAAUCUCAAACUUAGCAGUAGUUAUUUUGUGGUGCUGCGGAUUGAACCACAGUCUCAUACAUGCUAGGAGAAUGCUCUGGCGCUGAGCUGCAAGCCAGGCUCCAACCAUUGUAAACUUAAUAGAGCUAAGAUGAAAUUCUCAAUUAUCCCGGAGCAAAACCUGUUCUUCCUGUUUCCUACCUCAGUAAAUGUCAUAAUUUCAGUACUCUAUGGGAACCUUUCUUCCUUUCUUAUCCAGGCCAUAUAUGGGUCCAAUCCAUACAGAUUAACCUCAUAUAUACCGUAUCGUUAUUCAUUCACUUCCAUCUGCACUGCCGCCACCCUCUUCUAAGCUACAGUCAUCUUUCACAUCGUACUGAAGCGACCAAAAGGGUCUAUAGGUUUCUACUUUUGCCCUCUCCAAUCCAAGCAAGGGCUCUAAAGUCUUUAAAAUAUUUAGAGAAAAAAGCCAAACAGCUUAAAAAGCCACUACGUGACCCCUUCCCCUGCUGCUUCCUCAAACCACACUCCCCAACCCAUGCUCCAGCACUGGUUAAUUUUGUAGUUCCUCAGAUGUGCUAUGCGCCUCGCUAACCAACUUCUAUUCAUCUUUUACGCCUCAUUUCAGAGUUGGAUCUCCCAUCAUCCACACUCAGAGCCUUAAGUACAAUUUAUCUGUACAAUUAGAUUAUUACACCAAGAUAUUAGAAGCCGGGCGCGGUGGCGCACACCUGUAAUCCCAUAGACUCAGGAGGCUGAGACAGGAGGAUUUGCGAGUUCAAAGCCAGCCUCAGCAACUUGGCGAGCCACUUAGCAACUCAGCGAGACCCUGCCUCUAAAUGAAAUACAAAAAAGGGCUGGGACUGUGGUCCAGUAGUUGAGCACCCCUGGAUUCAAUCCCCGGUACCACCACCACCACCCCCCGCCAAAAAAACCCGAAAACGAUUAUAAACCAAACUAGACAGUAAAUUCCAACAGGGUAGGCACUGUUACCUGUCUGAUGCACUCCUGUAUCCUCAGGAAAACAGAAUGUAGCACACGGUCUGGGUUCAAAUAUUUGAAUGAACCUGAGAUGAGAGGGACCAAAUGGCCAACUAAAAAAAUUUAGCUCAAAUAGAAAAAAGUUCUAAUAUAUACAGCUACCAAUUUUGCUCCAGACCAAACAUACAUGGAGUCAAGACUAGACAGCUCAGACCAAACUAUAUACAUGGAGUCAAGAUACCGCACUCGUGCUUUCUUAAACCUCACACAAUUCCAAGUCCAGAGUGAACCCAUACAGAGCGACAAGGAACGUGCCUCCUUCGCCUCUGUGGAUGAGGGUCCCCGACCAGCUAGUUCAGGCUCCUGAUCCGGGCUCACUGGCCAGGAUUCUGAACACUAGUCCUCGAAGCAGUGACGCACACAGGCCCAAACACUUCGUCAGCGAAGUCGCUUAGCCCGAGACGUUCCUUUGAGCCUUCUGAAGCAACACUGGACGUGCGCGUCGAGCCCCAAGCUCCUCUCUGGUGUCGCAAAGCUUCAGGUGCCUACCCUGUUCACUCAAGAAAAAGCAAAAGACGACAACCCCCGUGCCUCGCCCUUUAAGAGCCGCCCCCAUUGGAGCCUGGCGAAGCUCUAAGCAAAUCGUCGCGAGAGCCGCUGGCUUCCGCCCGCUUCCUACUCUCUGCAUGCCGGGACGGAAGAAACGCGGUACUUCCCGCCCCCUGCUUCUACCUCACAAGGCAGUGCGGCCGCAGCUGCAACCAAUCACCAGGCCCGUUGUAGGCCGCGGCACAAAGGGCCAAUGGAAAGUCGCGGCGCGCGCAGAGCUUCUCUUCAUCAGAACCAGCCCCCUCCCUUCCGCCCGCCGCCUUCCACUCCGCCCCUGGCGGAGGAAGUGAUAUCACAGGCCCCAUGUGAGCGGAUUGCAACACAUGCAGCUGCCUGGAGAGAGGGAGCCGGUGUCCUACGUCAGAGCCGCCGCCGCCGCGGAGCCGCCGCCGGGGAGGAGCAGCCGCUGCCGCCCAGGACUGGGCCUUUAGGUGAGACAGGGAAGGGAAAGGCCAGUGACCUAUCUGGCGGGCCGCGCGGGGCGGAGAGAGGAGGGCCUUUCGGGGGUGGCAAGGAAGGGGGCCGCUCUGCCCCAGCGGCGGCGCUAACUCUGUGGUCUUGGUGUCUCCGGGCCCCGCCGGGCCGCUCUAGGGAGGAGGAGGCGAGAAGAUGGCGGACGACCCCAGUGCUGCCGACAGGAACGUGGAGAUCUGGAAGAUCAAGAAGCUCAUUAAGAGCUUGGAGGCGGCCCGCGGGUGAGCGCCGCGUCCGGCCCCCCCGUGCCCUCUUGGAUCCCGGACCCCUCAGGAUGGCCGCCCCCGCGCCGCAUGGCCGGAUGAGGAGAACCCGGCACUAGCCAACUCCCGCCUUCUGGACUUCUGGGUAGUAGCCUCUGACUCAGGGGCGAGGGUCGGAGCUGUUGGCCGGAGAAGGGGUCUUUCCCCCCCUUGGGGGUAAGGGGCCUGCGCUCCCUGGGCUCAGACCAUGCGACCCCCCCUCGUGAUAAGCCACUACUACUUUUGUACCCCUCUCAGGCCCUUAAGACCUGCUCCUCACUCUUCAGGCUCCAGGUGCUGACACCAGACUCGACUGCUUUUGGGGAAAAGUACUUGGCUUUCCUUUCCGAACGUCCUUCCCUGGUUUCCUCCCUUCACGUUCUUCAGCCAGGCCUUAUUAAAAUGGCCUCCCCCUCUUGGACUUUAAGGCCCGGGUGAAGUUUGGAUGGGGCGAGAAGGAGAGGUGGACAGGGACAUCCUCAUUCUAGCUCCUUAUGAUUUCUGAGGGUCUCCCACCUCUCCCAGGAUGAGUUCCUUCAAGUCCUCUAAUUAUCCUGGAGCUUCCUGGUUUCUAGCUGUUCCAGGACCCGCCUAUAAACUGAAAAUGCCAACGUGUGCAGCAUGGGGGAGUGGGGGCUGCUUUUGGUUGACAAACCUAUAUGUGUAUAUCCAGGAGAAUUCCGGAUAGUGGGACUAUUUGAUAUGGUCCAUAAUAAUAGAGUUCCUGUUGACCUUCCGGUGGAACUUCUUAUGAUAUCACUGUAGAGGGUGCUUGUUGAAAUUCAGAACUGAAUUAAGUGAACUUCUUGUCUCCUGUUUUUAAGUUUUAGUAAGAAACUUUAGGUGUAUCCAUUCUGAGAAGAGUAAACUAGAUUAAGAUUAGCCUUUUUUUUUUUCUUUUUUUUAAUAUUGCUCAUUUGAGGAAGGUGCCAGAGUAUUCCUGUUUCCUCACUUCCUGGCUUUCCCAGUCAUAGAAAGUUUUUACUUACCGGAAGUGGCCCCCAAAAGUGGAACAUUACAUAUUCUUAAAUCUCUGCAUUCUUAGAUUAGCAUAGUGGUUUUGUCCCAGGACUUUGGAAAGUUGAUUUCAGCACAAGAAUUGGAGUUUCUGGUUUUCAGCUCAUGCUUGUCAUUGGCAUUGCAUUUGCAGUGAUAGGAUGAAUAUCAGAUUUACUUAUUAAUUUUUAUGGGAAUUUGUACUACAAUAGAAGAAAAAAAAUAAUUCCCAAAAUGUAAAAGAGUAAUGUAGGUCAUGAGCCAUUAUGAUGCCAAGUACUUUUUUGUCACUAGGAUUUUCUGUCAUGUUACUUGAAGCCUUCAGUUGUAUAUUGAUUUUUGUAGAGUGUUGUUUAAAGUAUUUGUUCUUUUUGUUUGGAGGAAGAUUCACAUUAUAUUCUCUGAAGCAGUCUAAAAUAUGAAUUUAUUACUAAUCGGCCUGUUGUCUGAGUGAAGUAACAUUGAUAAUGCUGCUUAAUAAGUAACAAUAUUCCUUUCUACUCUUUGAUGAAGAAAGCUUAUUCUUAAAUUUGUUCCUAAGCAUGUCACCUAGCCACUUGAAAGUUAUAAGUACCUCCUUUUAAAGGUUUGAAGGCUUUACUAAACUCUUUGUUUAGUAAAGUUUGAAGCAUGCUAAAAAAUGAAGCUAUUAGGCACAGCUCUUCUUCCAAGUGGUAGUUUGAACAUUUUAGACAUGAUUAAACUGUCUAAAAUAGUAGGGACUCUUCCUCUAAACAGUGUGGUUAAUGAUCAUGUCCUGUUUGCUUCUAGUCAGGCUUUGGUUGCAUCUUGAUUCCAUGAAAACUUAAAAUCUUAGCCAUUUCUCAUGUUGGUUAGGGAGUCAAGUUUGUUCUGUGACUCACAAGGUUCCUGGUAUAUGUCGUUUUCUCAUGGGAAACAAAAAUAUUGUAUUUUCAAUUCUUUUUUGUGUUAAAGUCAAACUCUAGUUUUUCAUAGUGUAUAGUGAGAAAUGUUUUUCUUCUUUACCUAAAGUUAAAUAUUUUAGGAGUAAUUGUAAUGAGCUAUAAAGACAAACUGAGUCAAUCCAUGUGUGCUGGUGUCUGCGGGGCUACCGUGUAGCUUUCAGGAGAAAAUGGGUUGUGUUAAAGCAUGUUUAUUAGCACAAGACGGUGAAAUUUAGUGGUGGGUUAACAGAAUGUAAAAAUGACUUCUCCAACGGUAUAGAAUUCUGAACAUGAGAAUCAGGAAUUAGUUCAUUUUUAACAUUUCUAAGAUAUGAGUGUUAUUCUGAAAUUUAGAUAAUAAAUGAUUAUCUUUUGAUAUAUGACCCAAACAUAGUGUAGCUUAAAAAGAACCACCUGCAAGAUGAUACAUUAGAACAGAAUGAGGUAUCUAGAUAAAAUAAUUUAUUGAGCACUUAGUAUAUUACACUGUUUUUAAAAAUACAUUGUAUCAUUCACAACAAUAAAUACUGCCACCAUUUGAUAGACAAGGAAACAGACUGAGAAGUUAGAUAACUUGCAGUCCAUAAUGUCAUAGAGUGAUAAUGUAUAAUAGUCCAGCACUUGAACCAGUGUGCUCUACUGGAUAUAUUUUAUGUUUUCCAAAAUAUGAAAGUCUGGAUUUAUUCAACAUAAUCUGAACUAUAACAGACUGUGUUAUGCCUGUGGAAGAACAUUUAUAAAGGCGACGUUUCUGAAAUGGGAAACUUUGCUAACAUUCUCAUAGUAUUAUACUUAAUACGAUUUUUUUAAGUUGGGUGGAACAUACUUUAUUUUGGUUUUAUAUAAGUAUGAUUGAAUGUUAGUCUAUAUUGACAAGUAAAAUAACCAGCCAGCUCUUUUGCUAAACAUAAUCCUCACUUAAAGUUGAUGGUAGUUUUUCCCUACUUAUGAUUGUUCCUGGUAUAUUCUUCACAGUUGGCGUAUGAGGACAAAUGUGUACAUAGCCUGGGAAUAGGGCCAUGUGAGUUGAACCGUCCUUGGUUUCAAAUAAGGAACUAAAGCAGGUGAACAUGUCACAAGAAAGUUAGGUACGGAUUUCUGGUUGUUUUUGUUUCCCCUGAUGUUUUCUAAGCAAGCAAGAGGUAGCCCCAGAAAUGGUUUGGAAGCUUUAUAGUUUAUGUAAUAAAAUAACCAAAGCCUCAUCUAAUCAAUGGUCAUGAGGAAUGUGACAAGGAAAAAUAUGGUGUUAGUUUGGGUUAUGUCUGUAGAUCUUAGAAUAUUUUUCACUUAUCUUCAUGAAGAAAUCUUGCAUAUUUCAAGUAUAAACUUAUUGAGGCAUAAUUUGGUUUUUUUAAUUCCUCAAUAUUCUUGGAGAGCUGAUUUUUAACUAAAGUAAUACCCUGGGCUGGGCGUUAGUUUAGCAGUAGAAUACAUGCAUAGCAUGCAUAAGGCCCUGGGUUUGAUACAAUCCCCAGCACUGCCAAAAAUUAUAAUACCUUUUAAGGGAUACCUUGUAAUCUUUCAUAUAGAUAAUUGAACUAUUCAGUGUUUGGGUUUUUGUUUGUUUAUUGUUUGUUUGUUUGUGCUGGGGAUUGAACCCAGGGGUGCUAAAUAACUGACCCACAUUCCCAGCCCUUUUAAUUUUUUGAGACAGGGUCUAGUAAGUCCUUAGGGCCUCACUAAGUUGCUGAGGUUGGUCUCAAAUUGUGAAACUCCUGCCUCAGCCUCCCAAGCUGCUGGGAUCAGGUUUUUAAAGAAGUUUUUGUUGUUUUGUGGUGGGGAUUGAUACACCCAGGGGAUCAAUCCUCCCACCUCAGCCUCUUUGAGUCGCUGUGAUUAUAGGCAUGCACCACCACACCUGGCUUAACAAAGACUUCAGCUCUUCCUUCUGUAUCCUAGAAUCUCUGAGAUUACAAGCAAGAGGACUUUUUUAUCCUUGGUUCUUGCUCCUUCCAUCUUCCACCCCCAUCUCUGAUGGGAUAAAAGACCACUGAGAGAAAACUCAACAAUUAGAAUGUUUAAAAGUUUCUCCAAAAGAGAUGAGACUUCAGAGGUCUUAGUGGCCCCAACUACCUAUUUGACCUAUAGCAAGUUAUUCUUUCAAAGCUUUGGUUUUCACGCUUAACUAUGAACAAUAUCUUGGAUUAGGUGGUAACAGUCAAUGUGAUAUGGGUUUAAAAGUCAAAUACUACAUUUAUCCCAUAGAGUGUUCUGCAAAUGUUAAUUCUCUCCUUUGUGUACACAAAUACUGAGCCUUUAGAAAUAGAAGCCAGGUACAGUUGCACAAGCCUGUAAUUCCAGCUACUCAGGAGCCUAAGGACUGAGGAUUGUAAAUUUGAGGCCUGCUCUGGCUGCUUAGUGAGACCUUGUCUUUAAAAGGACUGGAGUUAAGUGCUGCGGCAUGCCUGUUCAAAGCCAGCCCUAGCAACUUAGGCCCUAAGCAACUCAAUAAGACCCUAUCUUAAAAUAAAAUACACAAAAGGUCUUGGGGGUAAGACUCAGUGGUUAAGUGCCCCUGGGCACUCAACCCCUAAUACGGGGCGGGGGGGGGGGGGGGAGAAGGUCUAGGGAUGUGGCUGAGUGGUAGAUCACCCCUUGGUUCAUUUCCCAGAACCAGAAAAAAAUUAUAAAAGAAUUGUUAAGGGGUAAGGAUACAAAUACCACCAGCAGAUCUGAGCCAUGAGAAAAGAGGUGAUAAAAGGAAGAGGGAGAUCAGAGUAUAUAUAAUGGGAUGUGUUGGUGUUCCUCAGUCUUCACAAGUGUCAUAGGCUUCCUGUCUCAACUUAGAACUAGUUGUAACAGCUGUAGUAUUUUGGCUUGGUGUUCUGUGCAUUGUGGACUUAGGGAACAAUCACUCUUUGAAUUUCAAGUCUUGACAAACUUCUCAUUGUAAUAGCAGAUACACUUAUCCUUCCAGGGAACGAUGGCAUUCUCUGAACACACACUAGGUAAAGCAAGAAUAACUAAUUAGAAUACCAUUUAAAGCAGAGUACAUUGUAGGUUACAAGCUUGUCCUGCCCCCUGCCUCCACCAGUUGGAUCCUUUUCGGGUGGUGGGGGGGGAGGCUGUUUUUCUCCAAAUUUGGGAUUGAAGUUAUGCUCAGCAUAGACCCCCUAUCCUGGAAAGAUGUGUGGUUGUGAAAAAAAACUUAAAUUUUGAGAUUUGCAGGACUAAAUGGUCUUAGAUCCUAUUUGAAGAAUAGGAAGGACAGAAGUUUCUUCUGAGUUCAGCCUAUUCUCUAGGGAUCUCAGAAUAGAACCUUCUCCUGGGAUACAUUCUAUAGCUGUCUCUCCAUUUUUCAGCCUACUAUCUUAGGGUAAAAAGAGAUUAAGAUUUUUCACCAUGUUAGAAAUUAUGAAUGUGAGGUUUCUCACUUGGGCUGUGUCCUCAGCAUGAUUAAAAUGCCUCUGAAAACAGCUUUAUUUUAUGCUCUUUGACAUACUUAAGAUUUGACGUUUUCAGGUACCCAGCAAUUGAUUCUUACCAUGCAUAUAACUUGCAUGCUAGAACCAUAUUUAUUUCAUAUUUCAUUUGAUCUUCUAAUUUCUCCUUUAGAAAAAAUUAUCAUAGUCAAAAGGUUCUCUUUCCUGCUAUGUCUAGGUUUGACUUUGUAGUGCUGGGGAUCAAGCCCAGGAUUUUGACACAGGGCCUCACUAAGUUGCUGAGGCUGGCUUUGAACUUGGAAUCCUCCUGCCUUGACCUCCCGAGUCCCUAGGAUUACAGGCAUGCUCUACCAAGCCCAGCACUAUAAAUGUAUUCUUACUACUGACCAGUGAACCAACAGGAUUCAUCAAACAUCUGCUCUUAGUUGGGCUAGACAUUUUGAAAGAAGUGUGUAAUAAAAUGAGAACAUGGUCAGCUACACAUCCCUAUAAUAAUGAUAUAGCCAGUAUAUGUUGAAGAGGUUUAGUAUAAGCAGAUGAUUAGGAUCUUGAAUGAGGUGUUAGACAUUGUAAAAAAGGAAAAGAGACUGUGUAGCUACUCGGGCAAAAUUUAACAAUUUCCUAGGCAAGGCAAGUGUCAAAGAAUGUUACUUAGAUGUUAGUAUUAUUGGACUGAUACAGUGUCUUUGAUACAGCAGUAAAGUAGAGCUAUACCUGAUCUGCAACUUUAAAAUUGUAAUUCAUUCUUUUUUGGUCCUAGGGGUGUACCCAGAGCUGCUUGCUAAUAAGCACAUGUUCUACCAUUGAGCACACCCCCAGCCCUUUUUCAUUUUGAGAAAGGGUCUAAGUUGCCCAAGCUGGCCAUGAAUUUGUGAUCCUUCUGCCUCAGCCUUCUGAAUAGCUUGGAUUACAGACAUGUGCCACUGUGCCUGGUACUAAUGUUUCUGAUAUUUUUACUGAAGAGCUUUGGUUUACCUAUGUUCUGAUAUUUGUGGUAUUUUAGGGUCUAACUCAGGAAAGAUGCAGAUUUAGAGAUUUAGUUUGAGAUGUGUUUUUGUGCUGGGAAUUGAACUCUGCACAUGCCAAGUGCACAUUGUACCACUAAGCUACACCCACAGCCCUGAGAUACAUUUUUUAAAAUAUUUAUUUAUUUUUUUUAGUUUUCCGCAGACACAACAUCUUUGUUUGUGGUGCUGAGAAUCGAACCCGGGCCGCACACAUGCCAGGCGAGCGUGCUACCUCUUGAGCCACAUCCCCAGCCCCCUGAGAUUAUUUUAAUCAAGUAAUAAAACUACUUUUCCAAAGAUAAGUAAAUGAGCCAGGUGUGGUGUACAUGCCUAUAAUCCCGGUGGCACGGAGGCUGAAGCAGGAGGAUUGCAAAUUCAAAGCUAGCAUCUGCAACAGCAAAGCCCUAAGCAACUUAGACUGUUUCAAAAUCUAAAAAGGCCUGGGGAUGUAGCUCAGUGGUUAAGCACCCCUGGGUUCAAUCCCUAGGGGUAGGGGAGGGAUAAAUAAAUGAGUAACAUACAUUUUUGACUCCUUAUAACAGAUGUAUGAGGGAAGAUAUUGCCGUUUCAUGGUUGGAGAAUAUGAAGUAUAGAAAGAGUAGGUAGCUGCCUAGUAUCACAGCCUAGUGAGAGGCAGUGUCAUAUUCUUCUAUUCCCGCUUUUCCAGUUUCAAAGCCUGUGCUUCUACUCCCUAUCGCUCUUUGUCAGGUAUUUCUUUUGCUGAAUGGAAACAUCCUCCCAUUCUCUUUUGAAAGGAGGACUUUUGUCUAAGGAGAUUUAUAAUUUUCUAGAGGGAGCAGGUGUGCUGAGAUUCAGGAACAAGAUAAAAGGAAAACAGGCAUGCCAUUUGUACAUCUUCCUUAGAAAGAACUUGAAUACCAAACAUGUUUACUCUUAAUGAGCAUUGGUGAUGAGGGAAAUAACUUGUGGCUGCACUGGAUGUUCAUUUGUAUAUAUUUUUUUUUUCUUUUAAUAUUUAUUUUUUAGUUAUCGGCGGACACAACAUCUUUGUUUUGUAUGUGGUGCUGAGGAUAGAACCUGGGCCGCACGCAUGCCAGGAGAGUAUGCUACCUCUUGAGCCACAUCCCCAGCCCCAUCAUUUGUAUAUUAAAAAGGUGAUUAAUGAGAAGGCUGUGACUUUGGGUUUAUUUGAAAAGUAGUUCGGUAGGGUCGUGGCUCAGUGGUUAAGCACUUGCCUUACAUGCCUGAGGCACUGGGUUUGAUCCUCAGCACCACGUAAAUAAAUAAAACAAAGAUAUAGUGUCCAUCUACAACUAAAAAAAAAUGUUUAAAAAAAAUAUAUGACUCUAUCACAGGGUCCAAUGUAGAACUCUGGUAGUAAGUCCCUAAUGUUGUUUGUGAUUGCUGUUUCCUGGCUUUGCACUGUUGUGAGAAAACUAAAGGAAAUUUUCAGCUUCUGCUGCUCCCUGGUGGAAUAUUCCACUAGUUUACUUUUAUGAAGUUCUUUUAGUAAAUGCCUAUAACUAUAGAAAAAGUAAUACUCUACCAGAUGUUACAUUUUUAUUUUAGAUGACUGAGUAAUUUUUGUGCUUUUGAGGGUAGAACACUAAAAUGGUAUUUGCAAACUUUCUGCUGAAAUACUGGGAAAUUUGAGCUAUUCUGUACCUGAGACAGAAGGCUGCUUUAAUGUUUCAGUAAGUUCAAAUCUUGAUAUUUCUCCCAUCUGGCGGUAGUAUCUGGUCAAUUGACAAACCAAUUUCAGAUAACUGGAACGGGAACAGAAUACUCCCUUCUACAUGCUAUUUUAACCAAGUUGUUUUUAUAAAAGGCAGCCCCAUCUACCUCCUGACCUUCCUCAUUGAUAAUUGCAGAAUAGGGGUGGGGUGACAUUAUAGUGAGAAUUCGCAAAAUAAAAAACACUGUUAGAAGUGAUGGUUUGAGCUUUUUAAUGAAGCGAAUCUGGGGACAGUGAGUUAUUUUUAAGGCACGUGUGUGUUCCUUUGCAAGGAAUAGAGGCAGGGGUUGUUUUUUAUGACCCGUUAUCACUAUGUUGCUUGAGUUUGCCUUGAACUUGCAGUCCUCCUAUCUCAGCUUCUGGAAGAGCUGGGAUAAUAGGAAUGCACCAGCAUGGAGUGGCAGACUUUUAAUUGAUGUUUUAUUUGGUAGUUUAGACUAAAUUUCUGGGGUCUGCUUUAUAAAACAGUAUAUAGAGAGCUAGGGAUGUAGCUUAAUGGUAGCGUGCUUGCCUAGCCACGUGUAAGGCACUGGGGUUUGAUCCUCAGCACCACAUAAAAAUAAAUAAAAUAAAGGUAUUGUGUUCAUCUACAAAUAAAAAUACCUAAAAAGGAAAAAGAAGACCCUAGUUUUGUUAGGAAUUUUUUAUUCCUCAAAUGUUUAAGCACCAUUAUGUCCUAAAAUUUCUGCUGUCAAGAAGCUUAUGUAGAUGCAGUAUGAUCAGUGUUUCUUCUGUUUUUUUUUUUGUUUUGUUUUGUUUUGUUUUUGUUGUUUAUACAGGGAGUUGAACCCAAAGGCUCUCAACCUCUGAGCCAUAUCCCCAGUAUUUGAUUUUUUUUAUUUAUUUAUUUUUAUUUAUUUUUUUUUUUUUUUGAGACAGGGUCUCACUAGGUUGCUUAGGACCUCAUUAAAUUGCAGAAGCUGGCCUGCCUCAGCCUCCCAUUUUGCUGGGAUUACAGGCAUGGAUUGCUGUGCCUGAUGCAAUGUAUUUUUUCAUUCUUUGAUACUUGAUGGAAAAGAAAACAAAUAUGAGGCUUCUUUGAAGUGACUGAUGCACAAAUAGAAAUUAACAGGACCUUGGUUAUAUCAAAAUACUGAGCUCAAGCCAUAAAUGUAGAAUAAGGACACUGAAGAUUUUAUAGCUAUUUUAAAGGAAAGGAAUCUCUUGUUCUCCCAUCCCGUAAAGGUAGCUACUAUCUACCACAAAGUCAACUCUUACCUCUUUCUUUGGGCUUACCCAAAUUCAGAUAAGACUUCAGCACCACCUGACAUUACUCUCCUCCGCCUCCCAUUUCUAGUUGUGCAGUAAUAUUUCUUUUUUUACUUUUACUGUUACCAAGCUGGGUGAGGGAGGUAAAGAGUUAGAGCUUCAUCAUUGUCAUUUAGUGAUCUUCUGGUAUCUCCAAUGGGGUAUUGGGGAUUUAACCCAUGGGUACUUUACCACUGAGCAAUAACCCAGUCCUUUUUAUUUUUAGACAGGGUCUCACUAAGUUGCUGAGGCUAGCCUUGAAUUUGUGAUCCUCCUGCCUCAGCCUCCCAGGUUGUUAGGGUUUCAGGUAUGCAUGCACCACUGCACCAAACCUUGUUUUUCUUUUUUGCAUUAUUGAUGAUUAAAUUCAAGACCUCAUACAUUCCAGGCAAGCACUCUGCUACUAAGCUCCACCCUGCCUUUUUUUUUUUUUAUUUUUUUGUUUUGAGACAGGGUCUUGCUAAGUUAUCUAGAGGUUGCCUUCAAAGCUGGGAUUGCAGGUAUGCACAACCAUGCCUGACCUUCAUGACCUUGUGAAAUAAGUAGAUACAGAGACCCACAGAGAUUUAUAUAAUUUGCUUUAGGUCACAGAAUAACAAUAGGAGUUCUGGUGCUGUAGUGGUGGAGCACCUCCUUCGCACACAUGUGAGGCACUGGGUUUGGUCCUCAGCACCACAUAAAAAUAAAUAAAUAUAUUGUGUCAUCUACAACUAAAAAUAACAAUAGGACGUGAGCCUGAAUGUUCAUGAUUCUAAAACCUGUAUUCCUCCUAGUCUGUUCCCAUAUUUAACCUAUAUCUUGAUUGUCUUGGUUUAAAAGUUUAAACUUAGUUUUGCACAAUUAGGAGAAGAGGUAAAAAGAUAGAAAACCUACAGUGAAUCAAAUAAGGACGACUUGAAAAUGGAGUAGAAGUUGGAGGGGGAUUGAUUUGAUUUUUGUUUUGAGUUGAACUUUGUGGGACAGGAGUAAAUGUGAGUUUGGAAGAGGGAAUGGUGAAAACCUUGUUCAUCCAUAUCCUAGGCACAACCAAAUUAUUGAACAUUGGAAUGAAAGCUUCUUAAGGUGCCUCUACUCUAAUUUUUAAUUUGGGAUUUGGGUAAGGAGUCUGAAAUGUUCCUGCAUAUGAGUCAUUGCUGUACCCCAUGAUUCACUGACUUCUUGGUGAGAGUCUUUGGAUUUUGGAAAAGAAAAAUGACAGCAGAAAAUGGAGGAAAAUUUAAGGUUGCAGUUUGCCUUUGUAGCAAGCAGCUCUGUAGAGCUUUAUAUAUUUCUCCUCUGAGAGGUAUUGGCUCUACUCGAAAUAUUGAGCUUCCUUGACUUUAUUUUUGUGUUUACACAAACUGGUCUAACAACUUUGAUUGGUUUGCCUGGGGGAUAAAAGCAUGUUUAUCUUGUUUGAAAAUUUUCCUAAAAUUUCUGAUCUUCUUGUAUUAAAACAAAAACAUAAACAGUAGAUGUUAUUAAAAUAGCCUUUAAAUUUUAAAAGAAACCAUAUAUUUAAUAAUCUGCAUUUCUCCCAGUCAAUGUCUUAUAAUAAAGGUGAAUUCAGAAACUUUAAGGUUUUCAACACAGAGUAGGGAGAGGCAUGCAGAGAAAGUAAUGAAAGGUAGUUUUGUGCCUAAAAUUCAAAAUUCUGAGAGUCCAAGACUUUAGCAACUUGGUAGAAACCUACCAAACAAAAAAGUUCUUAUUAGUUACAUUUCUGAAUCCAUUUUAAAAAUGGAAUCUAUAACAAGAUCAUGUCCUUAGGUGUAUUCACUACUUUGUCCUCUCUGAAGUGUUAAUUGGAUGUGAGUAUAUGGCCUCCCAACUGUAUUAUAUAGUAAAGUUGCUUAAUGGAUGUUUAUCUUCUUAACCUAUCUGCAGUAGGAAGUAAAUAGCUGCUUAUCUUUUUUUUUUUUUUUUAAGUUGAUAGAACCCGGUGCCUCACACUAGCCAGGCAAGUGCACUACCACUGAGUCCCAGCCCUAAUAGCUGCUUAUUAUCUAAGAUCUUUGCUGUGCACUCCAUAUCAUUAUCUUGCUUUAAGGAUUGCCUUUAGGCAUUUUUGGGUUCACUCAAUUAAUUUGUCCCAACCUUCUCUUUAGCCUGAAAGUUUCCAAUCCUUUGCGGUUUGGUGCCUGUUCUCACCUCAACUCUUAGCCUUCACCCCUGCCAUUCUUAGAGCCCCUUCUCAUUCCAUUCCUUAUUGAUUGCCUCUUUGCCAGUUCCAUCUCCUAGGAAACUAUUUUGUAAAUCAGAGAAUGUUCGCUUUAAAAAAAAAAAACUGAGCCCUUAAGAAAGAAUUCCCUUGGUCCCUACAGUUUCCAAGAGCCCCUAGGGUGGUAAUGUAUACCCCCUUUAGAAUCUUUUAUCAGAAAACAAUCACAAGCCAGUAAAGCUGGUAUUAAAACUUUUUUUGUCUUCUUCAUUUUGCCAUCUUGUAUCUUUUCAUGUUCUUGUGUGUAUAAGUUGACAUAGAAAAUACGUGGCACUUGCAGUCUAGACUGGUUUGGUUGUCGUUGCUGUUGUUUAGGUGUUGGGGAUUGAACCUAAGCUUCACCCCAUGCCAAGCAUACACUCUGCCACUGGGCUACUUACUCCUCCAGCUCCCAAACCAGACUUUUUUGGUACUGGGAAUUGAACCAGGGGUGCUUUAGCACUGAACUACAUCCCUUUUUAUUAUUUUGAGAUAGGGCCUCUCUCAGUUUCUGAGGCUGGCUUUAAACUUGAUCCUCCUGCCUCAGCCUCCCAAGUCACUGGGAUUACAUCACCCUACCCAGUGAUGUCGUGGUCCCCAGACCAUUUUUUUGUUUGUUUGUUUUUGUUUUCAGUACCAUAGAUUGAACUCAGGGGCACUCAACCACUGAGUCACAUCCCCAGCCCUAUUUUGUAUUUUAUUUAGAAACAGUGUCUCACUUCAUUGCUUAGCACCUUGAUUUUGCUGAGGCUGGCUUUGAACUCGAGAUCUCCCCAAACCACUGGGAUUACAGGAAUGCACCAUUGUGCCUGUCUCUGAAUCAUUUUUUUAGGUUAAAUUUGCUUAUUCAAUAUUUCCAGCCUCAGAAAAUUCCUUUUCUACUCCUUAGUCUACAGAGUUUACAUAAAACUACAGAAAGGUAUUUUUGGCAAUUUGGUUUUAGAAGCAUAUACCAAGUGUGAUGAGAGCUGAAGCUGUUUAUCAUAAAUUUCCUUGAUUCCCUGGUUUGGCUGGAAUACUUGCUCCCAUAUCCAAGGGGUGGCAGCAAAGUACACACCAUACUCUCCACAUUUAUUGGCUUUUAUCCAAUUCGUAGAUUAUUGGGAAUUUUUUCAUAAAGUUUAUUAUAAACAAGCCUUCUUGGUUUUAAGCAAACACUGCUGGUUUUGGAGAUGUUGCUUGAACUCACAAUCUGGAAGUAACCAUUUUUGAUAGUGAAAAGGAUUUGAUAAGCAAAUUGCCUGCUUGUAAAUAAAACUCUGUCUAGAGGACUUGUAGAAUUUACUGCUAGGAAAAAAACAUCCUGGGCAAGGUCUUCUGGAAAUGCAAUCCCUUUUGAGGGAAGGAGGGUAAUUUGGGAUGGAACUCGGGGGCACUGGACCACUGAGCCACAUCCCUAGCCCUAUUUUGUAUUUAUUUAGACAUGGGGUCUUACUGAGUUGCUUAGCACCUUUCUUUUGCUGAGUGUGACCUUGAACUUGCAAUCCUUCUGCCUCAGCCUCCCAAAUUGCUGGGAUUACAGGUGUAGCCACUGUGCCCAGCUGCAGUAAUAAAGUUAAAUAAGGGAGCCUGCCAUGGCAUGGCUGCUUCAGAGGCCAAGGCAGGAGAAUCACAAAUUCAAGGUCAGCCUGGGCAAUUUAGCAAGACCCUAAACAAUAAAGAGCUGGAGAUGUAACUCAGUGGUAGAGUACCUGGGUUCAUUCCACAGAACUGUUUAAAAAAGGAGAGCCAGGUGUGGUGGUGCACACCCAUGAUCCCAGCAGUUUGGAAGGCUGAGGUUGAUGGUUGUAAAUUCAAAUCAGCCUCAGUAAUUUAACUAUGCCCUAAGUAACUCAAUGAGACCCUGUCUCAAAAGGGAUGGAGGGGUGCAGCUCAAGGAAUGUGGUUGAGUGCCUCUAGGUUCAAUCCCCAGUAACAAAAAAAAAAAAGGAGAAAUGUUUGCUUUUUGUUUUUAUUCCCCUUACCCCCUCACAGUCCCUCUUCUCUUUAUUUAUUAUUAUUUUUAUUUUUUUAUUUUAAUAUUUAUUUUUUAGUUGUAGUUUGGGACACAGCACCCUUGUUUAUUUUUAUGUGGUGCUGAGGAUCGAACCCAGGACCUUUCAAGACUGGCAUAUUGGGCUACUGUGAAAAUACACAAGCUCAGUAAUUAGUGAUAAAGCUUAAACAUUCUGGCAGUCUUCCCAAUUUAAUGUGUCUUGAUUUGACCCCACCAAUUCCCCCAUGACACUAAUAAUUAUAUAAGUAUGAAACUCGCUAUAGUCUUUAAGGACCUGAUCUAUAAGGAUCUCAAGAAGUAACUUUCUGGGGCUGGGGAUGUGGCUCAAGAGGUAGCGCGCUCGCCUGGCAUGCGUGCGGCCCGGGUUCGAUCCUCAGCACCACAUACAAACAAAGAUGUUGUGUCCGCCGAUAACUAAAAAAUAAAUAUUUAAAAAAAAUUCUCUGUCUCCCUCUCUCACUCUCUCUUUUAAAAAAAAAAAGUAACUUUCUUACAGACUCACACUGAAGUAUCACAGUUUGUAAAAUGACGUCACAAUUUUUUAAAAUAUUUAUAUUUUUAGUUGUAGUUGGACACAAUACCUUUGUUUUAUUUAUUUAUUUUUAUGUGGUGCUGAGGACGAACCCAGGGCCUCACACAAGCUAGGCCCUGAGGGCUGCUCUACCACUGAGCCACAACACAACCCCAGCCCAUAUUGUCACAUUUUUUAACAUGCUUUGGUUCAUAUCAGAUCAGACUUGAUUCCUUGAAAGUGUAAAUCCUCUCAGUUUAUACUAAUAGCUAUUGUGAUAAAUAAAGCUAGCCUCUUUUCCUGGUCAGGGCAGCUUUGGGAAUUAAUUUUCAAUGUAAUAUAGUUUUCUUUAUAUACAGCAUUGGUAAUUUAAUGAGCACAUUUCUCAGGAAAACACUUUGAGGGGCUGGGAUUGUGACUCAAGAGAGUGCUCGCCUAGCAUGCGUGAGGCACUGGGUUCAAUCCUCAGCACCACAUAAAUAUAAAAUAAAGACAUUGUGUCCACCCAUAACUAAAAAAUAAAUAUUAAAAAAGAGAGCAAUGUCUUAUGUACUGUUGUCUUUCCCAUAGUUUUUUUGUUUUGUUUUUAGUUGGACACAAUACUUUUAUUUUGUUUACUUAUUUUUAUGUGGUACUGAGGAUCGAACCCAGGGCCUUGCAUGUGCUAGGCAAGCACACCACCACUGAGCCACAUCCCCAGCCUUUAAAUACUCUUUAGUUGUCAAUGGGCCUUUAUUUUAUUUAUUUUUAUGCAGUGCUGAGAAUGGAACCCAGUGCCUCACACAUGGUAGGCAAGCACUCUACCACUGAGCCACCAACCCAUCCCCCAUAUAUAUAUUCUUUAAUGGUAAUUUUAUUAAGAUUUAAUUUACAUGCCAUAAAACUUAUCCCCUUUAAAAUUCUCAGUACACUAAUCUUUCAGAGUUAUGCAACCAUCACCAUUAAUUUUAAAAUAUUUCCAUCAACCUGGAAAUAAACCACAUACACAUAUCCUUUAAUAAUCACACCCUGUUCCUUCCUCUCCCCAUCCCCUGGCAACCACUAAUCUACUUUCUGUAUCUAGAUUGCCUAUUCUGGACAUUACGUAUUUAAAUAGAACUGUACAAUAUGUGAUCUUUUGUGACUGGUUUUACUUAUUAUAAUGUAAAUAAAAUCAUUGGGGGGUUUUUUGCUGCUGAAUAAUAAUCCAUUGUAAUUUUUUAUUUUUAUUUUUUGUAGUUGUAGAUGAACAGAAUGCCUUUAUUUUAUUAAUUUUUUAUGUGGUGCUAGGCAAGCGCUUUGCCACUAUAAUCCAUUGUAUUUUUAUACCACAUUUUGUUUAUCCAUUCAUUCUUCAGAUUUGUGGGUUUCUACUUUUUUACUGUUAAGAGUAAUGCCUCAGGGCUGGGGAUAUAGCUCAGAUGGUAGAGUGCUUUCCUCACAUGCACAAGGCUCUGGGUUCAAUGGUUUGCAAAUAUUUUCUCCCAUUUCAUAGUUUUGUCUUUUUACUUUCUUUCUUUUGGUCUCAUAAUUUGGAUAGUGUAAAUUCUAGUGCUGUCAUCAAAGCACUUAGGGUGCUAAGUUAUUGUUUAAAAAUGUUCAAGGCAAGCUUGGAAUUUAGAGGAUAAUAAGUGGAAUUUUGUCUAGACUUUGGAAAGACUUAUUGUACUGUCCUGGCAUAGUGUCUCCCACUGAAAAGCCCCAGAUUCUAAGUCUCUGCCAUGCAAAGGCCUACUUACAGCUUCUUUCUUCAUCUUCGGGGAAAUAACUUGUUUGGCAAGCAUCCCCUUCAAGUGCCUUCCUCACAUGGCUAAUCUUACUCAGUAUUCAUUCAAAUAAUUAAACACUUUCAGUGUGAGCCAGUAUAUUACUAGUAUAGUCCUUGUCACAUUGAGAAUAACAUUUCUAUAAUUACUUAAGGGCAGCUCACCCUAACUUGUGUAAAUUCUGCUUUAGUGGUCUUUGAACCUCUAAUGAGUUAUUCUUUCUUUCACAGCAAUGGCACCAGCAUGAUAUCAUUGAUCAUUCCUCCCAAAGACCAGAUUUCACGAGUGGCAAAAAUGUUAGCAGAUGAGUUUGGAACUGCAUCUAACAUUAAGUCACGAGUAAACCGCCUUUCAGUCCUGGGAGCCAUUACAUCUGUACAACAAAGACUCAAACUUUAUAACAAAGGUAAUCUGGAACUGGAUCAUUUUGUUCUCUGCUUUAUCUUGGUUGCAUCUUCCACUCGGAUUCUGACAUGGUGAUUUAUUCACUAAGUUUUCCUGCAGCCAGCCAUCAUCAAUGUCUCCAUAGCAUUGCUGUUUAACUUUUUUAUUUAUAGAAAGUUAACUUUACUUGAAGGAAUAAAUUCUACUGAAAUACCUCAGGAGAAUUUUUAAAUUUAGGAGAGAGUUCUGAGAGAUUUAAGGAUAUUUCUGCUUUAUUUAAAUUUUUGACUGGGAACAUUUAAAGUAGAGAAAUUGUUUGUUAUUUGCAGUACCUCCAAAUGGUCUGGUUGUUUACUGUGGAACAAUUGUAACAGAAGAAGGAAAGGAAAAGAAAGUCAACAUUGAUUUUGAACCUUUCAAACCAAUUAAUACGUCAUUGUAUUUGUGUGACAACAAAUUCCACACAGAGGUAAGAGUUUGAACACUUGGGUUGUUUCCACUGUUUGCCUUUUAUAAGUAAUGUUACUAUGACCAUUCAUGUACUGGUUUUUGUGUGACCAUGUUCUCAUUUUAUUUCAUUCUAUAUCUAAGAAUGGAACUGCUAGGUCAUAUAGUAACUGUAUCAAACCUUUUUUUUGAGAAGUUGUUACGGUUUUCCAAACCAUGAUGGGAAAUAAUGGUACAUUUUACACAGCUGGCUAUUUUUAAAAAAUAAAAUAACUCACAUUUAUUAUGACACUAGUCAUUCUUCAUGUUCAAAGAAUGUGCUAACCUAGAGAACUAAUUAGAGAUAAAGAAAUAAUUGGCUGGUUAAUCUUUCUCUCCUCCUAUUUACAGUGAUAACUUGCCUAUGUUCUCUAUAUGCUCAAUUUUCAGCUGGCGAGUUAUAAUUUUUUUAAUAAUGGAAGUUUUUAUGGUUGUAUUUGUAUUUUUUUCUUGUUGUUUGUUUUUUCCUUUACAUUUCCCCAUGAAACUUUGGAGUGACAGCUGCCAUAAGAUGAACUUUAAUGGUGGAAAGGAAACCUCAUUAGAGUGACCUAAAUCAGUCAACAGUAAAACAAUCAGGAAUUCACAGCUGGCUCCCAGUUUAUUCUCUUUCCUUUCAUUGACCUAGGGGAAAAUCUCUACGGUGGAAUUAGAACUGACAUUUGUCGACACUGUUUACAAUAGAUGAUUUUUGCUAACUUGACAGGAAGUCCGGUUCCAGUUGAAUCUUGUUUGAGUGCAUAGAUGAUCCAGACUUUUUUUUUUCUUAGAUACCACAGUCUCCUUCUGGAAGAGGCUUUGUUGAAGAGAUUCUUAGCCACUCUGUCACUUUUACCUGUAUCUGGGUUGAUGAAAGCAGAUUUUUAUUGAUUUAAAUAGUAUAUGCUACUUAUGUUGUCUGCCUCCUAAUUAAUUUUUUUAAAUCUCAGUUUCUCUUAAGAUACUGUUUAAUCUUACUGGCUUUUCAUAUUUUGGCUAUAACUGAUAUGAUAUCAAUAACUAGAAAUGAUUGAGGUAUGUUGAUGUUGCAAUUUGUGUCCAGUUUAAUAAGGUAAUUAUACAUUCUUAUAAAAAGUAAUUAGCAUGCAGAAAGCUCUUGAGUUCAAUUCCUCCAGUACUGGAAAAAAAAAUAAUAAUAAUAAUAAAAUCUUUCUUAGCAGAUUCGUUGAAAACCUUAAUUAAGCUAACAGACAUGAUUAUGAUAAUACAAGGCUAUUUUUGUUUGGGGGUAUUGGGGGUUGAACCCAGGACAUUGUGCAUGCUGUACAUGCUCUCUACCACUAAGAUAAAACCCUAGCCUGUUUUUAGCGUGCAGUAUUCAUGUCUUAAUGCUAAUUAUUAAGCAUGGUGUGGUUGAAAAUAGAUUCUUAGUUGGUUAAUUUGCUUCCCAGACAUUCCUUUGAAGGAACUGUUUUUUUCCUUAGUUAAAAUGGAAUGGAUAAUAAUUCUUUAUUUCUAAGUAGAUUGCUAUCUGGCAAUUAGUGAUUACCAAGCCUGUAGUUUUCAAAAAUCCAUUGUGAAGACCAGGUACAGUGGCACGCUGCUGUAUUCCUGGCUACUCUGGAGGCUGAGGCAAGAGGAUUACAAAUUCAAGGCCUACCUUUAACAAUUUAAAAAAAUAAAAAUAAAAAGGACUGGGAUGUAGCUCAUUGGUACAACACCCUUGGGCUCAGUCUCCAGUGCUUGGGGGUGGGGUAAGGAAUUCACCAUGCAAACAUAUCUUAUGUGGGCUCUAGGACUAUAUAAACAUUUUUUCUUCAGAGAAAUAGUAAUAGGACAUUUAAUACUAACCCAGAAGUUUUCUGCAUUAAAUUCAGAAUUGUUAGCCUUGAAACUAUUUUGAAAUUGUUUCCAGAUAAUAUUAAUGUUGCCCAAGACCACAGGAAUUAAACAUUUCAAAACUAGAAGAUAUUUUUAAAGAUAGUUUGAGUUUUGUGCUUAUGUACUUCUGCUUUGGAGUUGAUGGUACAGUAUCAUCUUAUUUGUUACAAUAGAUCAAGAACUCUGCUUAAGUCCAACUUUUGGAAGGUAGAUUUGAAUGUUAAUGUUCCACAAACUAUCUAAAUGAAAUUAAGGAAUAGGAAGAAGUUGAAGUUAUAACCCUUGAGUUUGGAUUUUGGAUGGAUUUUUGUUGUUGUUUUCUUUUCUCUCUCUCUCUCUCUUUUUUUUUUUUUUAAUUGUUGUUUUUGUUUGUUUUAUUGGUACUGCGUAUUGAACAGGGAUGCUUAACCCUGGAGCCACAUCCCCAGCCCUUUUUUAUAUUUUAUUUAGAUGCAGGGUCCCACUGGGUUUAUAGCACCUCAGCCUCCCAAGCUCCUGGGAUUUACAGGCAUGUGCAACCUCGCCUUUCCUUUUUAUGUGUGUGUGGGGGAGUGGCAAAGUACAUAAAAAAUUAUUAUGCCAGGCACAGUGCCACACGCCUCUAAUCCCAGUGGCUCUAGAGACUUGAGACAGGAUGAUCAUGAGUCCAAAGUCAGCCUCAGCAAAAGUGAGGUUCUAAGCAACUCAGAGAGACCCUGUCUCAAAAUAAAAUACAAAAUAUAUUGGUUGGGAUGUAGCCAAGUGCUCCUGGGUUCAAUCCCUGGUAACCCAAAAUAAUUUAAAAAUUGAAUAAAAUUUAUCAUAACUAUUUUAAGUGUACAGUCCAGUGGUAUUAAAUGCGUUCAUGUUAUUCAACCAUUACUACCAUCCAUCUCCAAAGUCCUUUUCAUCAUAUAAAACUCUAUAAACAAUAAACAAGAAAUGACUCCCUAUUCCCCUCUUCUCUGCAGUCCCUGGCAACCACCAUUUUACAUAAGUUACAUGUUUAUAGCUGAAGUCUACAAAUUAUUCCAUAAAAUGGUUUUACCACAGUAUUUAUACGAUACCGAGUUGGGUAAAAGGGCUCAUGUGUCCUCCUAGGUUUUGUAUUGACCUUAGCAAAGCUAUAGAGUUUAUUAUGUGAUACUUACGUUUAUUUUUCAGGCUCUUACAGCACUACUUUCAGAUGACAGCAAAUUUGGCUUCAUUGUAAUAGAUGGCAGUGGUGCACUUUUUGGCACACUCCAAGGAAACACAAGAGAAGUCCUGCACAAAUUCACUGUGGAUCUCCCAAAGAAACAUGGUAAUGCAUGAGCCCUUUAACUUUGUGUCUAGCAAGAAAGUCAGUUUCUGAAAACAAGGAGCAUUUUAUUCUGCUAAACAUGUGGUUAAGGGAAUGGGGACAUUUAUAUUUCUCUGUUCAUUUCUCGGAUAGAUUUUUUUCUUGUUGUUGUUUUUCUCUUUUACUUUCACUUUUUGUGUUUGGAUAACUUCUCAAUAAUCACCCUUUUGUGUCAUAGGUAGAGGAGGUCAGUCAGCCUUGCGUUUUGCCCGUUUAAGAAUGGAAAAACGACAUAACUAUGUUCGGAAAGUAGCAGAGACUGCUGUGCAGCUGUUUAUUUCUGGGGACAAAGUGAAUGUGGCUGGUCUCGUUUUAGCUGGAUCAGCUGACUUUAAAACUGAACUAAGUCAAUCUGAUAUGUUUGAUCAGGUAAGUGAGAAAUAGAUGGAUCAAUUUUUAUGUAAGUCUCUAAGUGGGAAUAGGUAAGUCCUCUGUAUUUACCCUGGGACAUGCAUAUCUUUUUGAAUUUACAUAAAUAUUUCCCUGACUUUAAAAAACCUUGCUAUGAGAGCUAGAGGUAUAGCUCAGUGGUAGAGUGCUUGCCUAGCAUGCAUGAGGCCCUAGGUUCAAUCUUGUAGCACUGCAAAGGAAAGAAAAAGAAAAAACUUAGCUCUGAAUUAAACAGUAACAGGUUUAUAGGCAUUUAGUUUAAAAUGCCUCAUUCUUUUCUGGAUACUUUCUCUGUUGAAAUCAUUUUUAGGCAGGUUGCCAUAAUUAGCUUUAAAAUGGUUUGAUUUCAGAGAAACUAGCAGCUCUUUUUUUUUUUUUCCUGAGUUAUAACUGCAAUUAAAUCAAGUAGUGAAAUUCAGCUGUAUGACAGGCAGAAUUUUAAGACCAAAGCAUUGCCAGGUCCUAGCAGCUCCAGAGGCUGAGGCAAGAGGAUCUUGAGUUCAAAGCCAGCCUCAAUAACUUAGUAAAGCCCUGGGCAACUCAGCAAGACCCUGUCUCUAAAUAAAAUACAAAAAGAGGGGGGGGGUGGAUAUGGCCCAGUGUUUGAGUGCCCUGGAUUCAAUGCCUGGUACCCCCAAAAAAGGAUCAAAGCAUUUAAAUUCAGAGGAUCUUUUGGUUUGUGAUAGGGGUUCAGAAGUGAGAGCUGGGGGUGGGGCUGAGGCUCAGUGUUGCUUGCAACUUAAAAAUUUUUCUUCCUUUUUUUUUUUUUUUUUUUUAUUUAAGUGAAAGAGCUAGCAAGGCACAGUGGUACAUGCCUGUGAGGAGACUGAGGCAGGAGGAUAGGAAGUUCAAAGCCAGUUUCAGAAACUUAGCAAGGCCCUAAGCAGUUUUGCAAGACCUGUCUCAAAAUAAAAAGGGCUAGGAAUGUGGCUGAGAGGUUGAACACCUCUGGGUAUUUUGAAGUGCUAAUGUUUUUGUUUUUGUUUUUAAUUGUAUCAGAGGUUGCAAUCAAAAGUUUUAAAAUUAGUUGAUAUAUCCUAUGGUGGUGAAAAUGGAUUCAACCAAGCUAUUGAGUUAUCUACUGAAGUCCUCUCCAACGUGAAAUUCAUUCAAGAGAAGAAAUUAAUAGGUAUCAAUGAAAUGCAACUAUUUUGCUCAUUAUAUUUGUGUGUAAAUGUAGGUACGUACAUAACUGUAUGUAUGAAAAGGCACUGAAAAUAUAGAAGAUUUACCAUUUUCAUAAAAUUUUCUGCCUUCAUGGAAUCAUUUUUAAUCUUCCUUAGUUAGGUCUAAUAAGUGUUUGUAGCUACAAGAGAAAAUGUAAUAUAUAAUCAUCCCUGAGUAUCUGCAGAAGAUUCACAAUCUUGAAUCUUCUUGAAUAUACAAGUCCUUUAUAUAAAAUGUGGUUUAGUAUUUGCAUAUAAUCUACACACAUCCUCCUGUAUACUUUAAAUUAUCUCUAGAUUAUUAUGUAUAAUAACCACUACAACAUAAAUACUAUGUAAAUAAUUGUUAUGCUAUAUAUUGUUUAAGGAACAAUGUCAAGAAAAGGUGUAUGUGUUCAGUACAGAUGCAUCCAUCAUAGACCUAAGUACAUAAUACACAUAAGCAAAUGUAACUUUUUUCCUGAAUAUUUUUGAUCUGAAGUUCAUUGAAUUUGUGGAUAGUCAGCCAACUGUAUGUUUUAUUGUCUUGUCUCUAAUCCACAGGACGAUACUUUGAUGAAAUUAGUCAGGACACAGGCAAGUACUGCUUUGGUGUUGAAGAUACAUUAAAGGCUUUGGAAAUGGGCGCUGUAGAGAUUCUAAUAGUCUAUGAAAAUCUGGAUAUAAUGAGAUAUGUUCUUCAUUGCCAAGGCACAGAAGGUAAGAAAACUAGAAAAUAAGAUUCUUAUUUGUUACUUUCUUGUGUAUGCUGGAAAUCUGGGGUGGGCAUUUGGGGACAUGUGGCUGAUUUCAGAAGCAACCAGAAGGCAGUUGUAUGUACCACUCUCUUUUGGUUGUUUGAUAUGUCUUUAUGGUAGAAGUAGUGUACCUGGUAGAUGCUGAGUGCAUGCUAAACUCUGUAGGAAAGGAGGUUAAUACAAUGAGUCCAGGAGACGUUUUCUCAUCUAAUGUCACAGGGCUCAUACCUAUUAAUACAUGAGAGCCAGAUUAACAAGUUCUUUUUGUUGUUGUUGUUGUUUCAUUUUAAACUACAGAGGAGAAAAUUCUCUAUUUAACUCCAGAACAAGAAAAGGAUAAAUCUCAUUUCACAGACAAAGAGGUAUGUGAUUAUUUUCUUUGGUGGUAAACGCAAGGAAGCACAGACUCUCAGCCUUGGGAGACCAAACCUCAUACUAGUUAGGGAGUCAGCAGGAAGGGGUCAGCUUCUAUUUGCCAUGCACUGAUCUGAUUCCAAGGAAGGGGGCCUAGGAAUGGUUACUGCAGAUCUUUUUAAGUAAUUAAGCAGUCAGGAAAACAUUGUUGUUAUCCUUGAAAUAAUUUGAAUAGUUUCUGCUAUCUGUGAACCUAUACUGCUUUCUUUGCUUUUAUCAGUUCUUCCACUGCAGUGGCUUCUCUGCAUUUGAUGUAAAUGUAUACCAGUUUAAAAUUCUAUGAGUUGGAGGACUUGGGCCUUUAUGAAGCUGCUCCCAAAAGCAUUUGUGGCAUGCUUCUUCUGGGGUGUGAAUGAGUGAGCAACAGCAUGACUUCUGGAAUCAACAGUAGGAAUCAUAAGUUGAAGAAUUUGUUAAUGUUUCAUUAAAGGGUAGAGCCUGAGAAGUAUUAAAGUAUAAAGUAAUCAGAAUUUCUCUGCUAUUUCAGUUCUGUUACCAGAAACCAGAAUUCACUUUAUUUUACACACAUUUUAUACAUAUGCAUAAUGAGUAGGAGAAUUAGAGUGGUGGAAAGAGGGAUUGAGAGGGUUAAGAUGAACUUCAUUGUGUAUAAUGUUUUUGUUUCUCAUGGUCGCAUCUAUAGACGGGGCAGGAACAUGAGCUGAUUGAGAGCAUGCCCCUUUUGGAAUGGUUUGCUAACAACUAUAAAAAAUUUGGAGCUACAUUGGAAAUUGUCACAGAUAAGUCACAAGAAGGAUCCCAAUUUGUGAAAGGAUUUGGUGGAAUUGGAGGUGAGUAGCAAAUCAGCAAAUAUAACUUAAAACAAGGGUUUCAGGCCAGGGCCUCUCCUGGAUUAAGUAAUUUCAGGUAAAGUGUACUCAUGGUCUACUUGAGGCAGGUGGCUACACAACUUGAUUUGGAUUUUUUUCCCCUCUCCAUUACUGGGGAAUGAACCAAGGGGUUCACACAGCCCUUUUUAUUUUAUUUUGAGAUGAAGUUUAAGUUAUCAAUGCAGGUUUCAAACUUGGCAGUCCUUCCUCAGCCUCCCAAGUCAAUAGGAAUACAGGUGUGCACCACCACACCCAGCUGGAACAAUUUUAAUCAGUCACUCUUUGCUUUCUAGAAUUCUGCAAAUGAAUGGACUACCCUUAUAGAGCAACCCCUCCCUAUUCCAUGAACAUUGGUACUUACCCUUUGAUUUUUUUCUCUAGGUAUCUUGCGGUACCGAGUAGAUUUCCAGGGAAUGGAAUACCAAGGAGGAGACGAUGAAUUUUUUGACCUUGAUGACUACUAGGUAGUCGACAUGGGUCCGGCAAAAUGUGCCUCACCCUCCAGCAUCCAACCCAAGGAGCAUACCCGUGGUGGAAUCCAAACAGAUCCCUGCCUUACAAUUGGAACAUUUCCAGAACUUAAUCCAUGAGCAUUGGAUACUGAAAAGAAAACCGAAACAAAACCAGACCCAACCCUGUACAUUGGUUUGUCAUGGUGUCAGCGCAGCAGCCUGCAACUAAGUUCCUAAAUGCCACUUUGGACUAAUUUAAAAAGAAUCCCAGUUUUUACUUUUACUUGAUGGUGAAAUUGGUUGCUCUUGUAUUUUAUGAAAAAAAAAAUGAUUUUUUUAACCUUCAUACAUAGAAGCAAAAUACUUUAACUGCUGUAAACCUUCAAAAGUUAAUAGAAGCGAGAUCAUACUGGUUUGUUUCUUAUUUUGAUUGGAGAAAAAUUAAAAUUGCUGCAUUUCGCAGUGACCCAUUUACAUGGCAUUCUCAGCUUAGACUGCAUAAGAAGAAAUACAUGUGGUGAAAUGUUGGAACCAUUUCUCUCUUGGUCUCUGUUUAAUGUUGAAAGGGUGAGCUAAUAGGAGGCAGUUUCAACCUCACUCCCACACACCCCUUCCCCAAACUGUCAGUUUCAAGGAUGCAGAUUGCAUUGUAAAGUCAAACUGACUCAUGAAGCAUUGAGGCCAGUGCACUGUUUACUUUCAUCUGUUUGGCAGACACAUUUGUGCCCGAUGUUUGGGAGCCCUUUGUAUCAUUUACUUUAACAAGGGUCCCCAUAAACCUAGCCUACUAGAAAUCAGUUUGGGAUGGAUAUGGUUGGGCUUCUGUGCUAUUUGCUGGGAUUGGGAGAAAUAAAACAAACAAUUUUAGUGGAAGCAAAGAAAUUUAAAGAUUAUUUUAUUUUGCUUGGGUCUACCCUUGGUAAAAAGGGAGGUGGUCGUGUUUCCUUGUGUUGGGUGGCAUGAGAUUAUGUGAAUGUUUUGAUUUUUUUUUUUUUUUUUUUUAAUGAAAUGGAAGAUUUUUCACCGGGACGACAGACAAGACAUGUAUGAUUGCAUGGAAUUAUAAACCCUUGGUGGGGUUUGAGCAUCUGUUUCAAAUGUGGGACUUAAAAGCACCUCUCAGAUGAGAAAUUAUGGGAGGAGGGUGGGAAGGGAAGGGGUGGGAAGGGAUGGGACACAGCUUCUGGCACGAUGGACUAAACCAUGUUGGAUCUAAAAAGUUGGCCUGAAAACCUGAAGCUUAUGCUUCAUAGCUAGGCUAUAAGGUGGACUAGAACCCAGCCCAUGCAAGUCAUGGCGUGCUCGAUGUGGUGACAGUGAACAAAGUGUAUAGGAUGUGCCCAGUGCUAGCAAUGAGAAAGUGUAUACCGAAUGGACUUUGAAGGACCAAAGGUUUUUUAAGUCAAUUGGUAUCACCACCACCCCAGUGACUAGGGUAGUGGGGUGCAUUUGGUUUUCAAAUUGGGUACUUUCAACACUUAGUGCCUGACUGCUGUUCUUCACUGACUUGAUUCAGUCACUCGUAGCUUUAUUGGUCUGAACCAACUCUUUGUUCCCAGGUUACAGACCUGCCUAUCGUUCCAAUAAUCCUGUUUCACUUGAAUGAAGGGAGUAUGUCUUAAAUGUAAAGCUUCUGGUACUCACACUGUGCUCUGAGGUCCAAAUAACUGUCUGUCAAUGUAUAACCUGAUGUCUCAACCCCCAGUGAGAAGAGUCAAUUCUUUGGUGUUCACCGAUGUGGGAGGCUUCACCGGAACAGGCUUUUGCUUUGGGCUCUGCUGUUUGUUUGCAGAACACCCAAGAGCAAGUAAACAUGCUCUCUUCACAGCAGUACCUUAGGGUUUUGCCAUUGUAAAUGGGUCUAAUGUGAUAUGAUAAGACCAGAGAAAUUGGAUGUAAAUUUACAUUUUUGAAUAUGCUUGUUGUUUCACAUGAUACAUUUAGGGUAUGCAGCUCCUUUUGUAGUUUUUAUUUUUACUAUUUAAGUUUGGAAAUGAUGCCAAAUUUUUGUAUUUCUUUAAUCAAUGUGUUCUCUUCGGUGAUAUAUAUUGCAUUAUAUAUUGAUGUGUGUAUCAAUAUAUACUGGUAUGUAUUACACUUACACAUGCAAACACAUAAAUAAGAGGGGGUGAAAAACGUAGCCUUUGCAUUCUCUAUAGCCUCUGCAGAGAGAUCUAAGCAGCGAAAUCUUGGUGUUGUGAUGUACAGAAAUGGAGAAGAGUAUUAAACCAUAUUUAAGAAUAUACUUUGUGUGCUUGAGAUUUUUUAGGACUGUUUCCUAGAAAAGUCUGAACUUUAGAGACAGUAUGAGAGGUCUUUGAAGUUUAUGUCAGAUUAGUCAUAGCUGAUAAAUUUGCAGCCUUAGACUUUAGUUUCUUCGCU
rnacentral:lncRNA from 1 species